rnacentral:rRNA from 1 species
AAAAGAUGGCUUCUCGCUAUCACUUCUGGAUGGACCGCGGUGCAUUAGCUUGUUGGUGGGGUAAUGGCCUACCAAGGCGAUGAUGCAUAGCCGAGUUGAGAGACUGAUCGGCCACAAUGGGACUGAGACACGGCCCAUACUCCUACGGGAGGCAGCAGUAGGGAAUCUUCCACAAUGGGCGCAAGCCUGAUGGAGCAACACCGCGUGAGUGAAGAAGGGUUUCGGCUCGUAAAGCUCUGUUGUUAAAGAAGAACACGUAUGAGAGUAACCAUUCAUACGUUGACGGUAUUUAACCAGAAAGUCACGGCUAACUACGUGCCAGCAGCCGCGGUAAUACGUAGGUGGCAAGCGUUAUCCGGAUUUAUUGGGCGUAAAGAGAGUGCAGGCGGUUUUCUAAGUCUGAUGUGAAAGCCUUCGGCUUAACCGGAGAAGUGCAUCGGAAACUGGAUAACUUGAGUGCAGAAGAGGGUAGUGGAACUCCAUGUGUAGCGGUGGAAUGCGUAGAUAUAUGGAAGAACACCAGUGGCGAAGGCGGCUACCUGGUCUGCAACUGACGCUGAGACUCGAAAGCAUGGGUAGCGAACAGGAUUAGAUACCCUGGUAGUCCAUGCCGUAAACGAUGAGUGCUAGGUGUUGGAGGGUUUCCGCCCUUCAGUGCCGGAGCUAACGCAUUAAGCACUCCGCCUGGGGAGUACGACCGCAAGGUUGAAACUCAAAGGAAUUGACGGGGGCCCGCACAAGCGGUGGAGCAUGUGGUUUAAUUCGAAGCUACGCGAAGAACCUUACCAGGUCUUGACAUCUUGCGCCAACCCUAGAGAUAGGGCGUUUCCUUCGGGAACGCAAUGACAGGUGGU